AAGUCGUAACAAGGUUUCCGUAGGUGAACCUGCGGAAGGAUCAUUUGUGAAAAUUUAAUAUUUUUUUUGAAGAGGGGUAAAAUCCUUUUUAGAAAAACAUAAAAAAAGAGAUUUCUUGUGGUUUAUAAAUGAUUUUUUCAAAAAAAUUGUUUGUUGUUGGAAAUUUAAACUUUCAAUGACAAACAAUUUAUAUUUUUAAAAAAUCAAUUUUUUAUAAAAAACUAUUUUAAACAUGUAUUUAAAAAAUUAACAGUUUUAAAAAAUAAAUUAAAAAAAAAUUAAAACUGUCAACGGUGGAUCUCUUGGCUCGU
rnacentral:misc_RNA from 1 species